rnacentral:tRNA from 1 species
GACGCUAUGGGGUAGUGGCAGCACGUUGGAUUUUGAUUAUAUAAUUCCAACAACCCAGGUUCGAACCCUGGUAGUGCCU